UGCAAGAGGGUGUCUUCUUGCUCCUUCGGUGGUCAUCAAUGGAGUUCUCCGAUUCAACAAGGAUGCGUUAGUCACCACACCACCUAUACAUGCCGACUGAAACGGAACCCAUUUUUGUGCUGUCCCAAUCAUCUCUAUUUUAUUCCCACAACAACACAGCAAAUUGAAUCUCAAAUCAAUGGCUGCUAUUGAAUCAAACAUGAAUCUAGUUUGAGUCUUUUAAAUGUAUUAAUAAUUUAUUGUCCAUUUUGUAGUAGACUAAGCUGAUCUUUUGAGCAGUAAGAUGAUUUUAUAUAAUAAAUAUCAAUAAAUCCAAC